rnacentral:rRNA from 1 species
AGAAUCAACGCUGGCGGCGCGCUUAACACAUGCAAGUCGAGCGAGAAAGGGGAGCAAUCCCUGAGUACAGCGGCGUACGGGUGAGUAACACGUGGAUCAUCUACCUUUUAGUGGGGAAUAACCCUGGGAAACCGGGGCUAAUACCGCAUAAUCCUGUGAAGGGAAAGCAGCAAUGCGCUGAAAGAGGAGUCCGCGGCCGAUUAGCUAGUUGGUGAGGUAACGGCCCACCAAGGCGAUGAUCGGUA